rnacentral:lncRNA from 1 species
GCCCACCACACAACCUUGGGCAAAAGCCCUUGUGAGCCUCAGCUGUUUCAUUUGGAAAAGAGGGGGGAAAAUGAUUCCUAUGCCUUGAUCUUUCCUCUCUGGGGUUGCUUCCCUGGGAAAAUUUACAACUCAGCUCUCAUUUUAAUUAUCUGGUGAAAGCAUUUGACCCUGAGCAGGUCAUGUGCGGCCUGUGAGCCUCAGCUCCUCUGUGAAGUGCAGAAAAAUGCCGGCAGUUUAGGGAGACACCUGCCAUCCCAGGCAUGGCUGUGUCAUCGGCACCUCCCCCGAAGCCACUCUGUUCUAUGACUCACCCUUCAUCUUCAGGAUGGAGAGGGCUACAAAUGUUUCCAGAUACCAGCUCUUAUUUCCUCUAGGUGCUGGCCAGGGUUGGUGGAGAUCAAGUUCAGAACCAGGGAAUCCUGGGAGGGAGCAAGGCUGAAACCAACCUUAGAAAGGGCUCACAUUUCAGGGCUGCACAAGCCCCUGCUAAGUGUGUGAUCCACAAGUUUCAAAUGGGGAGGAUGUGACGGGAAAUCACUAGCCCAAGGCCAUCAUCAAACUCCUGAUAUUCUCACGAUAUGCCUACCUGGACCUCCUCUCCCAUACCUCCCACCUGUGGUUUGCUUCCUGGCAACUUCCAGGAUCUGGCCUCCAUUCUGCCCUCCAGAGAAGAGGGGGAAGCUGAGGUCAGUUGAACAUCAAUUGGGUGCCAGGUCCCCACUGGGCUUUCUCCAAUACCAUCUCCCCACCUCACUUCCAGGUGGACGUGACAGUGCCCACUUAGCAGAUAAGAAAACUGAGCCUAUGGUGGAGAAUAUUCCUUGGUGGAAGGACCCAGGGCUGAGUUUGAAUCCCUGCUCUUUUUAACGAGCCCAAGCCCAUCCCUGGCUGGAGGGAGACAUCCUGAACACAGCAGUGACAACAACCAAGCCUGGCUGGGGUCAGAGUGGCCUCAUUCACCUCCCAAGGCUCAGAUAAGUCAGGCCACUUCACCAAGAGCCUACAGUAGCAGAGGCGUGGCCUGAACACACUCGCACCAUCCUUGCAGCAGGCUCCACCUCAGCCCAGGUCUCGAUGUCAUCAAGGAGGACAGCAAAAGCUACUUAAGAGAAGGCCAGGGCCGGGUGCGGUGGCUCACGCCUGUAAUCCUAGCACUUUGGGAGGCCGAGGCGGGCGGA